rnacentral:rRNA from 1 species
GUCCACGCUGUAAACGAUGGGCACUAGGUGUCGCGGGCUUUGACUCACGCGGUGCCGUAGCCAACGCGUUAAGUGCCCCGCCUGGGGAGUACGGCCGCAAGGCUAAAACUCAAAGGAAUUGACGGGGGCCCGCACAAGCGGUGGAGCAUGUGGUUUAAUUCGACGCAACGCGCAGAACCUUACCCGGGCUAGAAAACUAGGAACCUGUCAGAAACGACGGGGUGCCCGCAAGGGAACCUAGGUUCAGGUGCUGCAUGGCUGUCGU